rnacentral:rRNA from 1 species
AGGGUUUGGCACCUCGAUGUCGGCUCAUCACAUCCUGGGGGUGAAGAAGCUCCCAAGGGUUAGGCUGUUCGCCUAUUAAAGUGGUACGCGAGCUGGGUUCAAAACGUCGUGAGACAGUUUGGUCCUUAUCUGCUGUGGGUGUACGAAACUUGAGUGGGCGCAUCCCUAGUACGAGAGGACCGGGAUGCAUUGACCUCUGGUGUACCCGUUGUCCUGUCUAGGGCAUGGCGGGGUAGCUAGGUCGAGUUAGGAUAAGCGCUGAAUGCAUAUAAGCGUGAAGCCGUCCACAAAACUAGGUUUCGUUGCCACCUUCGGGUGGCAAGAGGUUCGGGGAAGACUACCCCGUAUUUUAAUCAAAAGUUUUUUGAUGAAGUAGCAAUACGGAUUCAAAGAGCCGUAGAUUUUAUAGGUUGCAGGUGUAAGGCUGGUAACAGCUUCAGCCGAGCAAUACUAAUCAACCAAAAGUUUUAAUCUU